UUUUCGAGGCGAAAUUAACGAGAGUCGAGAAGGAAGAGCCUCUGCAUGGUCACAUCGGUUGCAAAUCCCACUUCCACACUUGAUUAGGUUUAGGUCAGGCUCUUCCUUCUCGCCUCUCGUUAAUUUCGCUUCGCAAA